AUUGAACGCUGGCGGCAGGCCUAACACAUGCAAGUCGAGCGGAGCGGCGGACGGGUGAGUAAUGCCUAGGAAUCUGCCUGGUAGUGGGGGAUAACGUCCGGAAACGGUCGCUAAUACCGCAUACUAUCGGAUGAGCCUAGGUCGGCUUAGCUAGUUGGUGGGGUAAAGGCCUACCAAGGCGACGAUCCGUAACUGGUCUGAGAGGAUGAUCAGUCACACGGGAACGGAGACACGGUCCAGACUCCUACGGGAGGCAGAAGUGGGGAAUAUGGGACAAUGGGCGCAAGCCUGAUGCAGCCAUGCCGCGUAUAUGAAGAAGGCCUGCGGGUUGUAAAGUACUUUCAGCGGGGAGGCGUUACCCGAAGAAGAAGCACCGGCUAACUCCGUGCCAGCAGCCGCGGUAAUUC
rnacentral:rRNA from 1 species